UGGACACUUUAAGCAGCGGUGGUGGCAAACGGCGAGAGGUUGCAGACCGGACAAAAAGCCUCCCUUGUUCGGACGUUGCUCUGACCUCCGGAGAUGACAAGUGAGCAAGAAGUGUCUGGCCGGGCCAUCCCUUUCAGAGAAGCAACCACUUCACUAGAAGAUAUUUGCCAUAAUCCUGCAAUAGGUGAUCCUGGACACCAGAACAGUUUCUCAGAGAUUGGAAAUACUGGAGUCUACAGAAAAAUCAAUGUUCAUUUACAGGGUAAUCACCAAACUUAUCUUGGAUAACAUAAGUGACAAGCUCGGACUUAUGAUUUUUCCAUGAGAAAAAUGUUUUCUUAACUCACUAUCAUUUCUACAACAGCAUCCCAUGAGAAUUGAUUCUAGGUGGUUCAAAAUGCUGCUUAAUCCUAUUUUAGAAAAAGCUCUUAUAUCUGAUUUAGUUUCAUAUGCAGCUUCCUUCUAACAUCAGAUUGAAUUUGCAUUGAGUUACCUUACUCAGUUUAUUUUUUAAUUGUGCUGCAGUUAUAAGGGAAUAAAGAAAAAGUACAAUAAGUUGAAAUGUCUCUUUUAUUGGAGACACACAGGAAAUGUGUUAUAUGUUCUCUAACAUUCUCCAUAUAUUAGAGAUGCUAUAAUAAAUUUUUUGAAUAGCAAAACAAAAAAAGAAUAGUUUCUCCUCUUAGAAACACCUAAAUAUGUUAGAAUUUAUUGCUAAGUUUUUUUGUGGUAUGAUGGAGAAAUAAAUUUUGAAAUUGCAUUUAUGGAGUUAUUUCAGAGCAAGUGAAAUCAUGUGUAAUCUGGUCACUUUGAAAGUAUAAAUGUUCGUAUCUGAACUCCUCCUGCCCUGUUAGGAGUUGAAGGCUAUACCAUGUGUUAUUCAAAAAGUAAUUUUCCCUGGAUGUGCAAUAAAGCUUCAGAUUUGACCUGUAACCUGGAUGUCAUAAGCUAUCAGUUACUUAUGCUGGAAGCACACAAACAACAAAAAAGCGUUCUAAGUAUUUUUAUAGUCUUGCUAAAAUCUUACAGAACCGAAGCAGCCAAAUACUAUUAGUAAGGCUGUAAAAACCUUAGAACUUAACUCUCCAGUUAUUUUUAACUUGAGCAAGUCUUAUGCGUUGUCUCUAAAAGUAGUGUAUUGUGCUUUUCAAUUCAGAAAAUUUGUUAAUUUUGCACCCUUUGAUAUUUGAAUCUCUCUACGAUAUUCUGACAUAUAUCCAGUUUCCGAUGGCUUUGGUAAAGGAGCAAAUUAAAAGGUGCCUUAGAAUGGCAAUAUUCAAUCUAUAUUUCUCCACUUAACCUUUGUCUGGCAAUCAUUGAACAAGUCCUUGUUCUUAGAAUUUAACCCCAAAAAAUGACUAAGGAAAGGGCUUUCUAUCUGGGGAUCAUGAAAAGUUGUGACCAUUUUUCCAUUCAUGUUUCAACCUCACUUUACUGAUAAAGGUAUAUCUUCCUUUGGUUCAAGCUGAAUAAAGCUUAAUAAAUAAGUUUCUGUAUAGUGACACCCAGAAGAUUCCUGGGAUACAUUGUGCUACUGCUGGCAGUGUUGGCUACACUAUAUGCAAAUAAGCGGGACCUUCACCCAUCACACAGCUUAAUUAUAGGGAUGAAUUUUAGUCUCUCCUCAUUUUUAUUAUAUUUGUGUUAAACAUAUGGGGUUUUUACAAGUUUUAAAGCAGCAAAAUACAUUUCAUAUCUACUCUGUUACAGAUUCCAAAUUAAGCAGAUCCUAAUUAAUUGGGUUACAUUAUGUACCAACAGCCUUUCACUUUAAUGUCAAAGGCUUUUAUGAUCACUAUUCAGUUCCCCUUAAAGUGAGACUGAGCAAAAUAUUUUCUUGACAUUUCAGAGAAUUUCAUUUUCAGUUUCAAAGGAUCAUUUAUUUCUUUAACCUUCCAAUGUGGAAAAGUAAUGAAUAUUGACUUGUUUUUAGAAGUGCUAACAUUCAACUAGGUAAACUUAGUAAGUGAUAGCUAUUAAUGUUCUCUUUUGUCUUUGAGACAGAAAAUCAAAGCUAUUUAAAGUAAAGGAUGUGUUUAAAAUCAAUGUAUGUCCACAAGUUAAUGUAAAUGUUUACAGACAUUUUCUGUGAUCAUGUCUUAUUUGGAUGUGUAUGUAUUUACAUAUAAAUACAUAGAGAGAGAUAUAAAUAGAUGAGAGAGAUAUAUAUGUUUCUAUAUGGUCUGAAUAAAAGUGUUUUAUCACGACGCUGACCUGCAAUGUUAUAAAGUGCA